rnacentral:rRNA from 1 species
GACGAACGCUGGCGGCGUGCUUAACACAUGCAAGUCGAACGGUAAGGCCCUUCGGGGUACACGAGUGGCGAACGGGUGAGUAACACGUGGGUAAUCUUCCCUGCACAUCGGGAUAAGCCUGGGAAACUGGGUCUAAUACCGAAUAGGACCACAGGACACAUGUCCUGGGGUGGAAAGCUUUUGCGGUGUGGGAUGGGCCCGCGGCCUAUCAGCUUGUUGGUGGGGUGAUGGCCUACCAAGGCGACGACGGGUAGCCGGCCUGAGAGGGUGUCCGGCCACAGUGGGACGGAGAUACGGCCCAGAAUACUACGGGAGGCAGCAGUGGGGAAUAUUGCAGAAUGGGUGAAAGACUGAUGCAGCGACGCCGCGUGGGGGAUGACGGCCUUCGGGUUGUAAACCUCUUUCACAAUCGACGAAGGUCCGGGUUGUCGCGGGCUGACGGUAGGUGGAGAAGAAGCACCGGCCAACUACGUG